rnacentral:rRNA from 1 species
UAUCUCUGUAGAGUCUGCAUAUCAAUAAGCGGAGGAAAAGAAACUAACUAGGAUUCCCUCAGUAACGGCGAGUGAAGCGGGAAGAGCUCAAAUUUGAAAUCUUCAAGGUUCUACCUUGACGAAUUGUAGUUUAAAGAAGUGUUUUCUGUUGGAGUUUUGGUAAAAGUUCUUUGGAAUAGGACAUCAUAGAGGGUGAGAAUCCCGUAUUUGACCAUUAUUUCCAGCUUUGUGAUACACUUUCAAAGAGUCGGAUUGUUUGGGAAUGCAGUCCAAAAUGGGUGGUAAAUUUCAUCUAAAGCUAAAUAUUGGCGAGAGACCGAUAGCGAACAAGUACCGUGAGGGAAAGAUGAAAAGAACUUUGAAAAGAGAGUUAAACAGUACGUGAAAUUGUCAAAAGGGAAGCGUUUGACACCAGUGUUGUUUUCUCGAAAAUCAAUUAAAAAAAGUUGGAUUUUGUAUUGUUAAGACCUUAUCAGCUUACUGUACUCUUUUCUUGCUUUUUUUAAUGCACUUUUCGUUUAACAAGUCAACAUCAAUUUCUUUUGUUGUAAAAGAGUCAUUGGAAGGUGGCUUUCACUUCGGUGAAAGUGUUUAUAGCCUUUGGCUUCUGCAAUCGGAGAGAUUGAGGUCUGCAGCGUAGAUCCUUCGGGGCUAGAUACGUAGAUGCUAAGUUAUAGUUUUUUAUAGACAACUUGUUGACUAUAAUUAAUCAUGUAGCUUACUCGUUUGCGCUAUUUUACCUACGCUUAGGAUGUUGAUCUGUAGUGCGUGCGC